rnacentral:rRNA from 1 species
GUUGUAUAGUUAAGUGACUAAGCGUACAAGGUGGAUGCCUUGGCAAUCAGAGGCGAAGAAGGACGUGCUAAUCUGCGAAAAGCUUGGAUGAGUCGAUAAGAGGCGCUUAAUCCAAGAUAUCCGAAUGGGGAAACCCAGUAGAUGAAGAAUCUACUAUCAACAAGUGAAUUCAUAGCUUGUUGAGGCAAACCGGGAGAACUGAAACAUCUAAGUACCCCGAGGAAAAGAAAUCAACCGAGAUUUCGUCAGUAGCGGCGAGCGAAAGCGAAAGAGCCAGUAAGUGAUAACAGUAUGGUUAGGAGAAUGUGUUGGGAAGCACAAUCAAAGAGGGUGAUAAUCCCGUAUCUAAAAACCAUAUUGUGGUACUAAGCUAACGAGAAGUAGGGCGGGACACGUGAUAUCCUGUUUGAAGAAGGGGGGACCAUCCUCCAAGGCUAAAUACUCCUGAUUGACCGAUAGUGAACCAGUACUGUGAAGGAAAGGCGAAAAGAACCCCGGUGAGGGGAGUGAAAUAGAACCUGAAACCUUGUACGUACAAGCAGUGGGAGCCCCAUCACUUAAUCCGAUUGGAAGGUGAUGAAAAGCAACCGCACUUAAACAAUGGUAAGAGGAGCGAAGCGAGUCAAACCACCCAAAAGAAGCAGUGGGAUUAAGUGAUGGGGUGACUGCGUACCUUUUGUAUAAUGGGUCAGCGACUUAUAUUUUGUAGCGAGGUUAACUGAAUAGGGGAGCCGAAGGGAGACCGAGUCUUAACUGGGCGAGUAGUUGCAAGGUAUAGACCCGAAACCCGGUGAUCUAGCCAUGGGCAGGUUGAAGGUUGGGUAACACUAACUGGAGGACCGAACCGACUAAUGUUGAAAAAUUAGCGGAUGACUUGUGGCUGGGGGUGAAAGGCCAAUCAAACCGGGAGAUAGCUGGUUCUCCCCGAAAUCUAUUUAGGUAGAGCCUUGAGGUGACACCUUUGGGGGUAGAGCACUGUUUCGGCUAGGGGGCCAUCCCGGCUUACCAACCCGAUGCAAACUACGAAUACCAAAGAGUGAUACUCAGGAGACACACGGCGGGUGCUAACGUCCGUCGUGGAGAGGGAAACAACCCAGACCGCCAGCUAAGGUCCCCAAGUCUAUAUUAAGUGGGAAACGAAGUGGGAAGGCUUAGACAGCUAGGAUGUUGGCUUAGAAGCAGCCAUCAUUUAAAGAAAGCGUAAUAGCUCACUAGUCGAGUCGGCCUGCGCGGAAGAUGUAACGGGGCUGAAAUAUAGCACCGAAGCUGCGGCAUCAG